UGUGUAGUUCCGCCGGCGAAUUCCGCAGGGGUCAAAGUCUGGACGGAAACUUUUUUCACCGCAUGAAAGUUCCGCCCCGGUGCGCAAACUUCCAUAAGAACCCAUGAAAUCAGCUUUUAUAUUUUUCCGCGAGAAUAAUUUGCACGGAUAUUCACCCUCAGUGAGAAUGGACUUUCACACCGUCUUUGAUAAGUGAGGCCCCAACACAGCCCUUUGCUUAUAACAUUAAUGUUACAACUUCAUCCUGGGAGAAAAACAGCACAGAGUGCUAGCUAGUAACGUUAGCAAACGUACCUCAUUGUGUUGUCUUUCCAUUUCUGGAUCUGCUCCAUCGAAGGUCUGCUGGCCCACCUGCACAGGACUGAAGACAAUAGCAACACUUACCAGCAGGUCGAGGCAGAAGAGACGAGGCUCGGGAGUUGGGACUUCAACUGUGUCCACAGACCUGCUUUCGAAGAUAGUUGCACUUAAUAGAAAGGAAAAUCAAUCAUUGGAACUUUUCUCCUCACAAGAAAGCUUAGAUGAUGCAGAUGCCACAUGUGAGAGAGGCCUGCUGCUCAACAAAAUACAAACACUAGAAAAGGAGAACGCAAAACUGUGGAGGGAGAAUUCUCACCUCCGGACCAGUGUUGUGUUGUUUGACAAGCUACCCGAUCUUCUUGAUAAAGUGCAAGCCCUUUCAGGAGCUAUAGAAGGGGUGCAGCAGGAUCUUCUCGAUAAAGUGCAAACCCUUUCAGGGGCUAUGGGAGGGGUGCAGCAGAGGUCAGCCAUUACUUCGCCUGAGGCUGCUGAUGUCUUGUGAAAACAGACUGACAUUGGAGGAGGGGUCUUUGUGCCCGAGAGUUCACUCCGGUACUGUGACCACUCACAGUACCGGAGACUAACCACUGGUCUACUGACCCUACUGUUCACGAGAGAAGAACUGGGGCAAAGCAGCUUGACGGGAAAGAGGUGCAACAUACACAAAGAGGUUGGUCCCAAGAAAAUGCUGGAGGCAAGAAAACUCGAAGCACUUGUUGGCUAUGUGAUGGAAAAGUGUGGCGCUACCAAGAAACAGGUUUUGAAGGUGGUUAAAGCCAAGCUGAAUUAUGAGGACAAGGCAGUGAAGCGU